rnacentral:rRNA from 1 species
AUUGAACGCUGGCGGCAUGCCUUACACAUGCAAGUCGAACGGCAGCACGGGAGCAAUCCUGGUGGCGAGUGGCGAACGGGUGAGUAAUAUAUCGGAACGUGCCCAGUCGUGGGGGAUAACGUAGCGAAAGCUACGCUAAUACCGCAUACGAUCUACGGAUGAAAGCGGGGGAUCGCAAGACCUCGCGCGAUUGGAGCGGCCGAUAUCAGAUUAGCUAGUUGGUGGGGUAAAAGCUCACCAAGGCGACGAUCUGUAGCUGGUCUGAGAGGACGACCAGCCACACUGGAACUGAGACACGGUCCAGACUCCUACGGGAGGCAGCAGUGGGGAAUUUUGGACAAUGGGCGCAAGCCUGAUCCAGCAAUGCCGCGUGCAGGACGAAGGCCUUCGGGUUGUAACUGCUUUUGUACGGAACGAAACGGUGAGCUCUAAUAAGCUUGCUAAUGACGGUACCGUAAGAAUAAGCACCGGCUAACUACGUGCCACG